GAUGAACGCUAGCGGCAGGCUUAACACAUGCAAGUCGAGGGGCAGCAUAAUGGUAGCAAUACUAUUGAUGGCGACCGGCGGACGGGUGCGUAACGCGUAUGCAACCUACCCUUUACAGGGGGAUAACACUGAGAAAUCGGUACUAAUACCCCAUAAUAUUCUGGGAGGCAUCUUUCGGAGUUGAAAGCUUUGGUGGUAAAGGAUGGGCAUGCGUUGUAUUAGCUAGUUGGUAAGGUAACGGCUUACCAAGGCGACGAUACAUAGGGGGACUGAGAGGUUAACCCCCCACAUUGGUACUGAGACACGGACCAAACUCCUACGGGAGGCAGCAGUGAGGAAUAUUGGUCAAUGGACGGAAGUCUGAACCAGCCAUGCCGCGUGCAGGAAGACGGCUCUAUGAGUUGUAAACUGCUUUUGUACGAGGGUAAACGCAGAUACGUGUAUCUGCCUGAAAGUAUCGUACGAAUAAGGAUCGGCUAACUCCGUGCCAGCAGCCGCGGUAAUACGGAGGAUCCAAGCGUUAUCCGGAUUUAUUGGGUUUAAAGGGUGCGUAGGCGGUUUAGUAAGUCAGCGGUGAAAUUUUGGUGCUUAACACCAAACGUGCCGUUGAUACUGCUGGGCUAGAGAGUAGUUGCGGUAGGCGGAAUGUAUGGUGUAGCGGUGAAAUGCUUAGAGAUCAUACAGAACACCGAUUGCGAAGGCAGCUUACCAAACUAUAUCUGACGUUGAGGCACGAAAGCGUGGGGAGCAAACAGGAUUAGAUACCCUGGUAGUCCACGCAGUAA
rnacentral:rRNA from 1 species